rnacentral:rRNA from 1 species
AACGAACGCUGGCGGCAGGCUUAACACAUGCAAGUCGAGCGCCCCGCAAGGGGAGCGGCAGACGGGUGAGUAACGCGUGGGAAUCUACCCAUCUCUACGGAACAACUCCGGGAAACUGGAGCUAAUACCGUAUACGUCCUUCGGGAGAAAGAUUUAUCGGAGAUGGAUGAGCCCGCGUUGGAUUAGCUAGUUGGUGGGGUAAUGGCCUACCAAGGCGACGAUCCAUAGCUGGUCUGAGAGGAUGAUCAGCCACACUGGGACUGAGACACGGCCCAGACUCCUACGGGAGGCAGCAGUGGGGAAUAUUGGACAAUGGGCGAAAGCCUGAUCCAGCCAUGCCGCGUGAGUGAUGAAGGCCCUAGGGUUGUAAAGCUCUUUCACCGGUGAAGAUAAUGACGGUAACCGGAGAAGAAGCCCCGGCUAACUUCGUGCCAGCCGCCGCCGUAAAAC